UAAGACGAACCGUGCGAACGUUGUUCGGAAUCACUGGGCUUAAAGGGCGCGUAGGCGGGCGGUCAAGUCAGAGGUGAAAUCCCACGGCUCAACCGUGGAAGUGCCCCUGAUACUGGCCGUCUCGAGGGAGGUAGGGGCGUGCGGAACUUCCGGUGGAGCGGUGAAAUGCGUAGAUAUCGGAAGGAACACCGGUGGCGAAAGCGGCGCGCUGGAUCUCUACUGACGCUGAGGCGCGAAAGCCAGGGGAGCAAACGGGAUUAGAUACCCCGGUAGUCCUGGCCCUAAACGUUGGGUACCAGGUAGUGGACUUACAUGGGUUCACUGCCGACGCAAAAGUUUUAAGUACCCCGCCUGGGGAGUAUGGUCGCAAGGCUG
rnacentral:rRNA from 1 species